GCGUCCCGUGACUCUCCCUUCUCUGCUUCUAAUAGGAAUGUGUCAGUGGCUCCCUUAAACUAGCUAUCGCUGUAUUUGUACUGCUCAAGUAGUUGCCAUGGUAAUCUCUGCAGCAAAACAGCGUUAUGUCCUGAGGACAAAAGCCGUACUGUGAAAACAAGGUGCAGAAUUCCACACUCCCAGCCUCUCCAUUCUGUUCUAUAGCCGACCUUGGCCCAGAGGAAAAAGAAAAUGGGCUUUCAGUGCAGACAGAUCGGGGGCCCUUGAGAGGAUCAGAUGAGAUAAACCGGUGAAAUGAAUUGGACAGCAUCUGGCAUCCGACAGACCUCCAAUUACUCCUGAAUGUCGCAAGGUACAGAGGGAAUUAGGCCUCAUGCCGUGAUCUGCAGUCCGGAGAGUCAGAGAAGUGAGGAGCACACUCAGUCCAGGGGCUGCAAAACUAGCAGCCAGCAGUGCAGCCGGCUGAGAAGCUGGAGUCUGGAAGCGUCACAUGUCGCUCCAGACGGCAGUGCCAGAGUUUCCCCUUUUCCUUUCCUGUUCUGCUUGGUCCUGGCAGUUGGGUGGUGCCUGUCCCCAUUGAGAUAAUCCACACACUGAUCUCUGGAAACACUCUCGCAGACGCAGACAUACCGGGCACUCUUCAACCCAGGCAAGCCCGCACUCCAAAGUAACCAUCACACCUCGACCUGCUCAAUCCCCUGCUGCUGUUUCACCUUGUUAUAGAUCAGGUUUCUAUUCUUAUGUUCUUAUGAAUGUAACCAUUUAAAAGACAAUAAACACGUUAUUCCAAUUGUU